CCUACGGGAGGCAGCAGUGAGGAAUAUUGGUCAAUGGGCUUACGCCUGAACCAGCCAAGUCGCGUGAGGGAAGACUGCCCUAUGGGUUGCAAACCUCUUUUGUCAGGGAGCAAUUGGCGCUACGUGUAGCGUUAUCGAGAGUACCUGAAGAAAAAGCAUCGGCUAACUCCGUGCCAGCAGCCGCGGUAAUACGGAGGAUGCGAGCGUUAUCCGGAUUUAUUGGGUUUAAAGGGUGCGUAGGCGGAAUGCCAAGUCAGCGGUAAAAUCGCGGGGCUCAACCUCGCUCCGCCGUUGAAACUGGCGGUCUUGAGUGGGCGAGAAGUAUGCGGAAUGCGUGGUGUAGCGGUGAAAUGCAUAGAUAUCACGCAGAACUCCGAUUGCGAAGGCAGCAUACCGGCGCCCAACUGACGCUGAAGCACGAAAGCGUGGGUAUCGAACAGGAUUAGAUACCCGGGUAGUC
rnacentral:rRNA from 1 species